UAAUUGCAAACAAUUUUUUGAUAAACAAGUAGGCCAGAUAUCCAAAUGAGAAGAUGCCGUUUUGCCCUCUCAUUCCAUUUGAUAACAGAAGCCCUUGUGUCACCUUAUGUUAUAGGAAUGGAAUUAUAGGGAUUAAUAUGAACAAAGUUAACCCCUUUUAACUUACUAUCGCAUAAUGUUUUCAGCUUCCAUGCCAUGAGGAUUCUGGGCAGUGCAGGGUGGGGGAGAUUGGAGGGGUGCAGAGGAAAGGAAGAUGUGAAGGGAGAGGAAUAAUAGAAACCUUUUUAAUAUAUUGAUGUGAAAUGAGAAGUAAUUCAGAAAUGCAAUUUAGUGAUGACCUCUCCUCUGGGUGGAUAUGAAAAGCAGCCUUGUUUUCUUUUAUAAAGAAAUGCUGGCAUGCUUGACUUUAGUGAAUCAAGAGAAUUGUUUGGCAAAUAACAGUGAUGGUGUGUGUCCUUGUCAGAACACCUGCUGUAUUCUCCCAGCAAACGCUGGGGCCACGGCGUCUCUCCUCUAAUGACACCUCAUCAAUCCGCUCCUAUCAAUGUCCCAGCCAUGGAGGUGACUUCGAGUGCUCAGAAGCCUUAGAAAAUGUCAACGUUUUGGGAGAAAAGGGUCUCCCUCUGCCACCUGGGAUGCAGUGCAGUGGCCUGACCACAGGUUCAAGGAAAAGUUAGUGGAAGCCGUUAUCCAUGUCAACAUUGAACCAGAAGAGCAUGAUUUGCAAGAGGAACUGCUACACAUUUUACACUUAUUUACUCCAACCUUUCCUGCUAAUUCCAGGUUUAUUGUAAAACCACUGAUCCCUUCAUUUGAGCUCGACUUCCCUGCACUUAGUUUUGAAUUUUUCCCCUGUCCAAUAGUAAGACACACACACAGAGAAGAACAACAAGAACAAGAAGAGAAUUGCAAUGAUGUGAAAACACGAUAACACAUGUAGAGCAGAGCACUGUGCACCAGUUACUAAUGCCAGAAGAGGACUCUCACUAUAUGGAGGGUAAUGAAGAUCAUCACAAUACCAGCCACCAGGAAUAGAAGUCCAGAUACUUCUGCCCACUGUCUGUUAGUAUUGGAGUCACCAAAAAAUCACAAGUCAAGUACUUGGUGGAAAAUUACUUUACUCACAAAAAGAUACAGAGCAAGAUCAGUUUCGGUAGUGGACAUCUGUCACCAUGGUCCCUCCUAAAAGACAAUGCAGGGCAACUGGCCUAUGAGCACCCAACUAGUGCUACACUAGAAGGACUCUGACACCUCCUCCAUGAAGUAUGAAAUAUCAAAAACUAGGGGCAUGCCUGAGCGCCAUUGAAACACAGUGCUUAAGCAGAACAAAGACGUAAAGACGUACUCAUUGAGUCUGAAACAGAGAAAGAUACUUUCUCACUAAAUCUAAACCUGGGAUAGGUACUGCCUUUCCCAAUACAACAGAUUUUAGUAAAUCCUCCAAAUUUGUUUGACUUUGUUCCAUUUGUUUUGGUAAUUAUCUAUGCUGUCCCUUUCUAUAUACAAUUAGCAUAAGCUAGUCAAUACAACAAAAAUAUAUACAGCAAAUUAGAUUGGGUUUGCAUCAUUCUAUAGAUUAGGAGAAUAUUGAACAUUAUAAAAAUAGUGAAUAUUCCAAUUCAUGAACUCAAUAUAUUUAUUCAUUUACUAAGACAUUCUUGAUUUCUUAUUCAGCAUUCGUAGGUAACAUGCAAAUCCUGUAUCUAUUUUUGUUAACUUUGUACCUACAUAUUUUGUUUUUCCUGAUGCUAUUGUAACUAUUACUUUAAAAUUUAAUUUCCAUGUGCCUAUAGUCCCAACUUCUUGGGAGACUGAGGCAAAAGACUCAGUUGGGCCCAGGAGGGAGUUUGAGUCUAGUCUGGGCAACACAGAACCCCACCUCUAAAAAUUAAAUUAAGUUAAAAUUAAAAAAAAAAAUUUCCAUUUGUUCAUGCCCAUUAUGCAAAUAUGUAAUUGACCUAGUACCCUGGAACAUUCCAAAAUUAUUUUACUAAAUCUGGAGAUUUUGUUAUAGAUCUA
rnacentral:lncRNA from 10 species